rnacentral:rRNA from 1 species
CGGACGAGAAGCUUGCUUCUCUGAUGUUAGCGGCGGACGGGUGAGUAACACGUGGAUAACCUACCUAUAAGACUCGGGAUAACUUCGGGAAACCGGAGCUAAUACCGGAUAAUAUUUUGAACCGCAUGGUUCAAAAGUGAAAGACGGUCUUGCUGUCACUUAUAGAUGGAUCCGCGCUGCAUUAGCUAGUUGGUAAGGUAACGGCUUACCAAGGCAACGAUGCAUAGCCGACCUGAGAGGGUGAUCGGCCACACUGGAACUGAGACACGGUCCAGACUCCUACGGGAGGCAGCAGUAGGGAAUCUUCCGCAAUGGGCGAAAGCCUGACGGAGCAACGCCGCGUGAGUGAUGAAGGUCUUCGGAUCGUAAAACUCUGUUAUUAGGGAAGAACAUAUGUGUAAGUAACUGUGCACAUCUUGACGGUACCUAAUCAGAAAGCCACGGCUAACUACGUGCCAGCAGCCGCGGUAAUACGUAGGUGGCAAGCGUUAUCCGGAAUUAUUGGGCGUAAAGCGCGCGUAAGGCGGUUUUUUAAGUCUGAUGUGAAAGCCCACGGCUCAACCGUGGAGGGUCAUUGGAAACUGGAAAACUUGAGUGCAGAAGAGGAACANGUGGAAUUUCCAUGUGUAGCGGUGAAAUGCGCAGAGAUAUGGAGGAACACCAGUGGCGAAGGCGACUUUCUGGUCUGUACUGACGCUGAUGUGCGAAAGCGUGGGGAC